UACGGAGGGUGCGAGCGUUAAUCGGAANUACUGGGCGUAAAGCGCACGCAGGCGGUUUGUUAAGCUAGAUGUGAAAGCCCCGGGCUCAACCUGGGAUGGUCAUUUAGAACUGGCAGACUAGAGUCUUGGAGAGGGGAGUGGAAUUCCAGGUGUAGCGGUGAAAUGCGUAGAUAUCUGGAGGAACAUCAGUGGCGAAGGCGACUCCCUGGCCAAAGACUGACGCUCAUGUGCGAAAGUGUGGGUAGCGAACAGC
rnacentral:rRNA from 1 species